rnacentral:rRNA from 1 species
UACGAAGGGGGCUAGCGUUGCUCGGAAUCACUGGGCGUAAAGCGCACGUAGGCGGCUUUCUAAGUCAGGGGUGAAAUCCUGGAGCUCAACUCCAGAACUGCCUUUGAUACUGGAGAGCUUGAGUCCGGAAGAGGUGAGUGGAACUCCGAGUGUAGAGGUGAAAUUCGUAGAUAUUGGGAAGAACACCAGUGGCGAAGGCGGCUAACUGGUCCGGUACUGACGCUGAGGUGCGAAAGCGUGGGGAGCAAACAGG